rnacentral:rRNA from 1 species
GACGAACGCUGGCGGCGCGCCUAACACAUGCAAGUCGAACGGAGCUGAGAGAAGCUUGCUUUUCUUAGCUUAGUGGCGAACGGGUGAGUAACGCGUGAGUAACCUGCCCUGGAGUGGGGGACAACAGUUGGAAACGACUGCUAAUACCGCAUAAGCCCACGAUCCGGCAUCGGAUUGAGGGAAAAGGAUUUAUUCGCUUCAGGAUGGACUCGCGUCCAAUUAGCUAGUUGGUGAGGUAACGGCCCACCAAGGCGACGAUUGGUAGCCGGACUGAGAGGUGGAACGGCCACAUUGGGACUGAGACACGGCCCAGACUCCUACGGGAGGCAGCAGUGGGGGAUAUUGCACAAUGGGGGAAACCCUGAUGCAGCGACGCCGCGUGGAGGAAGAAGGUUUUCGGAUUGUAAACUCCUGUCGUUAGGGACGAUAAUGACGGUACCUAACAAGAAAGCACCGGCUAACUACGUG